AUUUAUAAUUUAAUUUUUGUACCAAUCAAUUGAUUUAACAUUUAUAUCUUAUUUUCAAUGUCAUAAUGAUUAACUAUCGAAUUUAUAGUAAAUUUAUUUUAUAUGAUCCAGCUUUAUAUCUAGUGUUUCAUAGCAGUUUUAUAGAAUAAUUCUAUAAAUAAUGAUGACCACGUUCACAUAUCCGAUUUGCGGCGAACAAAGUGAACAAAAAAGUUGGGCCUUUCACCCUCUUUCUAGUUACUCUGGGAGCUGAUCUUCUAAAUCCAUGGAAACUCAAUUGAAGAAACGAGUAGACAAUUGAAGGGAAUCACACAUUGAAAGAGAAGGAAUUUGGCGGGUAAGAAAUUGAGUGUAUAUAAAGAAAUUGACUCACCGUGACGCAUUAGUAUGAUGCGUUUUGGGAGCAUCUUCUUCUCAUUUGCCAUCUUUUUCUCUCUCUAUAUUUAUCCUAAACCCUAAACCCUAAACCCUAAACUGUUCGAAUAUAAUACAUUAUAUCUUGUUUGAAA
rnacentral:sRNA from 1 species